ensembl:lncRNA
AUGUGUUUUUCUCUGUUAAAGGGAGGCUUGUUGUUAUUUCGGAUUCUCAGACUGGCUAUGAAACAAUCCGUUUGUGAAGAGACAGAUGCUGAAACCCAUCAUAACAUUGGAGGAUUUUGGGCCAUACUUACAUUGCCUGGUGUUCUAAGGUUCACUUCUUGGCUUGAUGAAUGAAGUUUUAGCAAUCUCAACAAUGGACUCGUUUCCUUCCUUUUUGGUGUCUCCUGUACUUUCUGUUUGGAGGUCAUUGCAUGUGUCUGAUUGAGCAACUGUCAUUAUGCAUUUCUGUUUGCAGUGCUUUGCUUAAAUUUUGAACCCUUAGCAACAAUAAAAAGUCUUUGGAGUUUUUCCAUUUGGGUUGUGGUUGUACAUGUUUUUCCUUGAUUUAAUAUCCUUAUGGAUAUGUGCAAUGCAACAAUUUAUUUCACACUAAAAAAAAUGAACCAGCUAUAAACACUUUUUUUUUGAGCUGCAUGUGGUAUAGCAGUCUUAAAUGCAAUAACUAAAAUAAUAAUUUUCCUAAAUAACUUUUCUUGUUGGCUUAUCAACAGUUUAAUAUGUAAAUGGAAAUAAUUAAUUUAAUGGUCUUACCUGUUAUUUUCCACUUUUCUUUUGUUCACGUUUUCCUUGGCUGCAUUCAUCACUCUAUAGCAUUCUUUAAGAACUCCUGGGAUGCAACCUUAUUUUUCUUCAUGC